UUCGUAGGCGGUGUGGCAAGUCGGGAGUGAAAUCUCUAGGCACAACCUAGAGACUGCUUCCGAAACUGCUGUGCUUGAGUGUGAGAGAGGCUCGUGGAAUUGCAGGUGUAGCGGUGAAAUGCGUAGAUAUCUGCAGGAACACCCGUGGCGAAAGCGGCGAGCUGGAUCACUACUGACGCUGAGGAACGAAAGCGUAGGGGAGCAAACA
rnacentral:rRNA from 1 species